UUGACGUCUGUCCAACACCCAACACCGAACAUAUGCUCUGUUCUGUGCUGCCCAAAUCUGUUUAUUGAUUUAUUUUGUUAAAUCUGGGCUAUAGACAAGCAUAGAGAAAAUAAAUAUUUUGCUUACUCUAUGUAGAGCAAGUUAUAUCUGGGCGAACGCCACGAAAAGCCAGUGACUGAUAGUUCGUUGAAUUCGAAAUGCUUUAGGAAGUGUUUGAGUUAUAAACUUGUUUUCAUUCCUUCGUAGUGAUUCAGUCCGUUUGCCAUGAACCCCUUGAAAGAACCGUCGCCUCCUGGAUCAGCUAUGGCAACCCCAACGAAUACCAAUGGAAAUUUAGUUGACGAAUUUGAGGAAGCAUUUCAGUCGUGUUUAAAUGUCUUGACAAAAGAGGAAGCUGUUCCUGCAACCGAUAAAGAUGAAAUUAAAGUCGAAGUAGAACAUACCAUGUAUAGAUUUAUCGACAUGGCUAGGCAAAUGGAAGCGUAUUUCCUUCAAAAACGGUUCUUGCUUUCGGCUCUCAAGCCGGAAAUCAACAUCAAAGAAGAUGUAAACGAUCUACGUAUUGAAUUGGUUCGCAAAGAAGAACUAAUCAAGCGACACUAUGAGAAAAUUGCAGUUUGGCAAAACUUACUAGCCGACCUACAUAGUUAUGCGAAAAGUCCAGCGCAAGCAGGAGGCAAUUCGACCCCAUCAGGUGCCGGUUCCAGCGGUAGCUCUAUUCUGCCAUCUCCUGUACAAUCGCUCGCAGGAAACCAACCCACUAGCCAAUUGAUGUCCAGUAUGCCGACGUCAAUGCAGCAGCUGCAGCAUCAGCAAUUACAACAGCAGCACCAACAGUUGCAGCAGCAACAAUUGCAACAAAUGCAAAUGCAGCAGAUGCAGGUACCUCCUGGUUUGACUGGAGGCACUGUCGGUCCCGGAAUGCUCUCUCCUCAUCAAACAAUGUUCAUGCAUCAGGGAAUUGGGGCGACGAGACCCGGCCCUUUUCAGCAGGCUGGCCCGGGUGGGAUGCUGCAGGGCCCUUUAGCUUUUCUAGAGAAAACUACGAGUAACAUAGAUUACGUUGGAGGGUUGACGGAUGGACGCAGGUGACGAGGACGCGGGAGGGGUCGAGGCAGGGGACGGGGCAGAGGUAGAGGGCGCGGUCGCGGUACUUCCACUAUGCAGCCAGACUACCUGUCUUCCUAAUUCCCCUCCCAGAUGCUGAACUCUUUGAUAGUCGUUGACCAACUUUGCUUUGAAAUGCUCAAAAUCAUUACAAUGGAAUCAGCUUAUAAGACCAAAGAAGAAUUAUUCUCAAUACUCUCAAACUGGCCCUCGGUUGUCUAGUCGAAAUUAAUUUUAAUUGAAUUUUUGUUGUUAUACACACGUUGUUAGUCCACGUAGUGAGAUUUAAAACUGUAAGGAUCGCUAGUUGCGCUGCUAAUUUGCGACCAAUUUUAUUAUAUGUAUUUAUUAUUGGAGUAAAGAAAAGAAGCAAAGUGAAUGAUUUAAUUAAGACGAUGAGAUGGUUGAGAUUUUGCAGUGGAAUAAUACAGGGAUAAUCCAAUUUUUUUUCUUAACAAAUCGGGUGUCAAGAAUUCAAGUAAAGGCGAAGGAAUUUAUCGUUAUAAGUGGAUGAAAACCUAUUCGAAGUUUAGCCAAUUAGUGCAUCCAUAAAUGUGGAAAAAAUUGUAGGGGUACACGUUGAAUGUUUUUUGAAAGAUUUUCAUAAUUGAAUUUGGCCUAGACAUUGUACUUAUUUCGUAAGGCUGUAUGAAAUGCUCUGAUGGUAAAUUUCUCACAAACUGCCUAUAGAUCAAUAUGUCUAUUUCACCGGACUAUGUGAUGAAUAUACUUAAAUCUAGCGGGUUUAGAAUAAAAUAUUGAGGUUUUUAUGAUAGUACUACGCUCGUUGUUAUAUGCUACUUUUCAGCUACAUGUUUUGAUGUGCUAAAAGGCGGUGCAUACUUUAAAUGAUCAGUAUAAUGCUGGUUCAGUUUUCAGCCUAGGAAUUGUUUAGAAUAAAAACGAUAUUUUCGAAAUCUACUUGGCAUAAUAUUAGCGAAUAGAGUAGUUUGAAUAAAAUUCUACAUCUGGAGGCUGGUUGCGAAUUGUCAGCCAGUUUAUGUGACGCAAACAGUUACUUGAUGAAUAAUUCUUCUGCAUUAAUCAGGGUGUGAGAGGUUAAAAAUCAACAAUUGUGCGUAAUGGAGCAUUUUGGGAAUCCCAUUAUCGUAUUAUAAAAUAGAUCUAAGUAGAUAAUUCUACAACAUUCACAUACAUAGGUGCUAGAAUAGUAGUUAAUUAUACAUUAGCUGUAAUUAUCCCCCUAAUAAUCACUAAAUAUUGAUUUUUUAAAAGGUGUUGCAUUUGAAAUGCCGCUUUUUUAUUAAUUCUUUCAUUUGUAAGAAUUGUUCAACGCAUCACAAGAAAUAAAUUUAAAAUAUGUUAAAAUAUUUUUUCCAAUUUCAAGUUAAUUAGUUUGAAUGUUCAUAUUUCUACAAUAUCUUGUGCAAACAUUGAUGGCAAGACAACACCGUAGGUAUAAGUCGUAUAUUCACUACAUCACUUUUAAUUUGCGUUUCCUGUUUUGGGUGGGGUGAGCUGGUUUCUUCCAAAGAUCAUACUUUUAUCGUAAAAUUGUGGAUAGUUAGCUGGGAGCAACGUUCUUGUCUAUUCUGGUUAGAUCGAAAAAAAUAAGUAGGGUAUAAGAGGCACUUGUAUUUAGCAAUAUUCAACGUUAUUCUGUGAUUUUUAUCAAAAUUUUUGAUAUUUUCACUGUUAUACCUAUCUUCCAUAAUGUGUAAAUAGUUGUAGUUCUCGUUCAACAGCGCGUGUCUUUUUGUUGUUUGUAACGUUACCGAAUUUCAAAAUUGUGA
rnacentral:misc_RNA from 1 species